CACGUAGGGGGCGAGCGUUGUCCGGAUUUAUUGGGCGUAAAGAGCUCGUAGGUGGUUCGGUAAGUCGGGUGUGAAAACUCUGGGCUCAACUCAGAGACGCCACCUGAUACUGCUGUGACUUGAGUCUGGUAGGGGAGUGUGGAAUUCCCGGUGUAGCGGUGAAAUGCGCAGAUAUCGGGAGGAAUACCGGUGGCGAAGGCGGCAUCCUGGACCGGCAUUGACGCUGAGGAGCGAAAGCCAGGGGAGCAAACGGG
rnacentral:rRNA from 1 species